GCGAGAGUGGCGGAAUUGGCAGACGCGCCGGACUUAGGAUCCGGUCCCUCACGGGGUGGGGGUUCGAGUCCCCCCUUUCGCA
rnacentral:tRNA from 1 species